GAUGAACGCUGGCGGCGUGCCUAAUACAUGCAAGUCGAGCGAACAGACGAGGAGCUUGCUCCUCUGACGUUAGCGGCGGACGGGUGAGUAACACGUGGAUAACCUACCUAUAAGACUGGGAUAACUUCGGGAAACCGGAGCUAAUACCGGAUAAUAUAUUGAACCUCAUGGUUCAAUAGUGAAAGACGGUUUUGCUGUCACUUAUAGAUGGAUCCGCGCCGCAUUAGCUAGUUGGUAAGGUAACGGCUUACCAAGGCAACGAUGCGUAGCCGACCUGAGAGGGUGAUCGGCCACACGGGAACUGAGACACGGUCCAGACUCCUACGGGAGGCAGCAGUAGGGAAUCUUCCGCAAUGGGCGAAAGCCUGACGGAGCAACGCCGCGUGAGUGAUGAAGGUCUUCGGAUCGUAAAACUCUGUUAUUAGGGAAGAACAAAUGUGUAAGUAACUAUGCACGUCUUGACGGUACCUAAUCAGAAAGCCACGGCUAACUACGUG
rnacentral:rRNA from 1 species